UACGGAGGGGGCUAGCGUUGUUCGGAAUUACUGGGCGUAAAGCGCACGUAGGCGGCUUUGUAAGUCAGGUGUGAAAGCCCAGGGCUCAACCCUGGAAGUGCAUUUGAUACUGCGAAGCUUGAGUGCUGGAGAGGUAAGUAGAAUUCCUGGUGUAGUGGUGAAAUACGUAGAUAUCAGGAGGAAUACCGGAGGCGAAGGCGGGUCUCUGGGCCGUUACUGACGCUGAGGAGCGAAAGCGUGGGGAGCGAACAGG
rnacentral:rRNA from 1 species